rnacentral:rRNA from 1 species
CAAUAGCGUAUAUUAAAGUUGUUGCGGUUAAAAAGCUCGUAGUUGGAUUUCUGCCGAGGACGACCGGUCCGCCCUCUGGGUGUGUAUCUGGUUUGGCCUGGGCAUCUUCUUGGAGAACGUAGCUGCACUUGACUGUGUGGUGCGGUGUCCAGGACUUUUACUUUGAGGAAAUUAGAGUGUUUCAAGCAGGCACACGCCUUGAAUACAUUAGCAUGGAAUAAUAAGAUAGGACCUCGGUUCUAUUUUGUUGGUUUCUAGAGCUGAGGUAAUGAUUAAUAGGGAUAGUUGGGGGCAUUCGUAUUCAGAUGUCAGAGGUGAAAUCCUUGGAUUUUCGGAAGACGAACAACUGCGAAGGCAUUUACCAAGGAUGUUUUCAUUAA